AAUGCCAAUGUUUUUUGAACAUCGACUUUACUGAAAUCGAUUGUAUCGAAAAAAGUGGGCGGAGGUCGAGAGAGUUGCUGAUGGCGGCAGCCACUUUCAGAUAUUUGGUGCAGCUACACAGAGACGUUCCCAAAGCGGCGAGAUUUUAUUCGGAGGGCCUUGGCUUCACCAUUGAUGUCUGCACUCUCCGAUGGGCCGAGCUCCACUCUGGCCCGCUCAAGCUCUCCCUCCUCCAUUCUCCCAGCAACCGUGUUCAACAGAAGGGUUAUUCGUCGCUCCUAUCCUUCACAGUAAAGGACAUCAAUAGUACUGUGACGAAGUUGAUGACCUUAGGUGCCGAACUGGAUGGCCCAAUCAAGCAUGAAAUCCAUGGAAAGGUGGCAGCGAUGAAGUGUGCUGAUGGGCAUGUGUUAGGUCUAUAUGAGCCUGCUUAGGAGCUCCAAAAAUGAGUGUUGCAACGGUAAUGACAAAUUGAUGGAACAAAAUGUAACUUUCUGGCGCAUACACAGUUGUGAUUGCAGUUUGAAGGAAGGUUUUCCGUGAGAUGCUCGAUGGCAUAGAAGUAAGGCUUUCUCCUACUGUUGACGAUGCUCCUGGAUCUCUCUUCCACCAUCUUUCUGCAUGUCAUUUCAGCAAAUUUGCAUGCCAACAGGCCGCGUCACUUGCUUUCUUCGCGCAUUAUAUCUUCCGUCUCUGUCUUAGGCCGAGCACUGACGACAAAAACCAGGUACCCAAUUUGUCCUUUAACUCUAGGGCUGCCAAGAUGAGUUAGGAUAAUCUAUUUUUGGAAAUAAAGAUAUUCUUGAGUUAGAAAUGUAAUGGAAUGGAAAAAAAGAAGAAUUUUUUUGUGGGUGGAAAUAAGAGACUUGGUUGACUAUGGCCAAAACCCAAUGGCAGUGCUCUCUACACAUGGCUGUUGGUAUGUUAAAGUGGCUACUCAUGCUUGUCACUGUGCUGCCACAGAUCAUACGUGAUAGCUACCAAUAUCACUAGUACAUUUUGUCGGGCACGUUUUUAUUUGUAAUAUUACCUCGGCCAUAACAAAUAGUCGCAUUUUUCAUUUUAAUUCGUUCACCAAAAUUAAUCUCUAUUUAUUGGUAAGCAAUACUCCGAUCACUUUUUCUCUUUAUCUCUCUCAUACUUUAAUUAAUUUUGCAUUGAAUCUCAUGUCAUCCACUGUCAAGAGUGAAGACUAAUUUUUUUGGAUGGAGAUAGUAUAUUUUUCCUUACUUCAUCCAUGUAUAUUAUGUAUACAUAAAUAAUUUGCUCAAGCAAACAUGUUUUGAUACUACUUAGCAGCCCUCGUCGUUGGAUUGUUUUUGGUUUUAUGCCCUCUUGAACUAUUGUCUGCGUUUGGCUAAUAAAUUUACUUAAGUUAACAUUUGCCGUGAUGUGACACAUUUUGCAAUUAAAUUGAAUGGCGAUAGUUUGAUUCAUAGCAAAAGUCGUUCUAGGUGUUUUAGUAUUGUUAUUUCGGUUGGAUCAUGGAUGAUAUGUGGUAAAUUUCUAAGUCUGUUUUUGAGUCUCGGUCGUGUCGGCCAAAUUUGUGUCAUUGUGUGCAUUGUUAGCUAUUCAAAUGUGCAAGAAUGCUAUGUCUAACCUAAGAAUAUUAAAAAUGAAGUCUAAUUCCUUUUCACUUGUUUAAUCAAAUUAAGAGUAUAGUACUAUUUUGUCCUAAACAUAUGGCUGAUUUACAAUUUUGGU